CUGUGUUUUCAUUUCCUAGGGACUCUUCCAAGGUGUGCUCACCAAAGACAUCCCCUCAGAGAUAUCUGGGGAGCCAGCUACAGAAGGAAAGGUGGUCCCUUGGGGCUGGUGGGCUGAUGUGGUUGAUGCAGGUGAGGGCUGGCAGUGAUGUCAGUGAGCUGUGAAGGACAGGGGUAGAGAAGGGGUCCUGCUGCUGGCUUCCUGUAACUGCAGGUGGUGGUGGUGGUGCAGUCCCCAGCUCUGCUGAUCCCGCAGUUGUGCUGGCACAAUUUGGAUCCGUGACCCCAGCAUGGCUUCAGUUUUUGCUGCUCUCCUUCCAGAAUCAGCUGAGCUGCCCUGAAUGAUGGGGCUGCACAGGGACCAGAUAUAGACACUUGGAAUGUAUGGAUCAUGGAGCCCACACAGACUGUAUGGAGAUUGUACGGACUGCAUAGACCAUAUGGAGACCACAAGGAUACCCCAUUGAGACCACAUGACUGCAGAUCACUGUAUGGAGACCACAGAGACCAGGUGAAGAUUCAUGCUCCCCCCCAAGCUCUUCAUCUCCAUGAGCCUCAGAGCUGUGGUGGGACUGGGGGCAGCUGUGAGCAUCUGCUGCAUGUGCCUGUGCUGGGACAUGAUGUUCCUCCUCUACAAGGAUGGAGAUGGGGCCCUGCACAGGGCCAGGACCUAUGGAGGAUGCAGCUGAGUUCUCCUUCACCCAGGUCAGCAAGACAGACAAUGGGCCUGUAGUGAUCCUAACCAGAAGACCAUUGUACAUCGAGGAGAUAGAGAGCCACGUAACAAUUAACCUGAGCAGGCACAGGCCUGUGUUGUGCUGCGCAUGUCCUGCUUGGCCGCAGGAUAAACUUAGCGGGCUAAUUAUAACGAAGGAGCCUGUAGGCAGCUCCCACCUGGCACUGGGAAUUACA